CACACACACACACACACAUACUCACUCACCUCGCAUUAUAGUAGUCCGGCAGUAAAUAUCUGUUAAUACUAUAGGUUUUUAUCAAACAUAAUGGUUAUUUUUGAGUCUGAAUUUUCUUUUGUUAUGCAAGUAUCCAGUUACUUUCAAUCACUUUUUCCUGUGUCUGGCAUCAUAUUGUCAUUUUGCUCUGAUAUUUGAGACUUUCCUUCUUCUCAAAUACAUUUGCAGUUCAUAAUUGAUGAUACAGCAGGGCCAUCAGCUCCAGUGAGUAAUCCCCUUCACAGACGAGCUCUGCUUGGCCAACGACACACCACAGCUUGCCCUCCUAGGCUCAUCCACUCUUGUCUCCCUUCAUCCGUCUCCCCGCUCCGCCUCUCCGUUUUCCUCAUCAGUGACUCCAGUCAUUACAUUGAUCUGUGGUCGGAC